rnacentral:rRNA from 1 species
CUCGCUGUGAAGAUGCAGUGUACCCGCGGCAAGACGGAAAGACCCCGUGAACCUUUACUAUAGCUUGACACUGAACAUUGAGCCUUGAUGUGUAGGAUAGGUGGGAGGCUUUGAAGUGUGGACGCCAGUCUGCAUGGAGCCGACCUUGAAAUACCACCCUUUAAUGUUUGAUGUUCUAACGUUGACCCGUAAUCCGGGUUGCGGACAGUGUCUGGUGGGUAGUUUGACUGGGGCGGUCUCCUCCUAAAGAGUAACGGAGGAGCACGAAGGUUGGCUAAUCCUGGUCGGACAUCAGGAGGUUAGUGCAAUGGCAUAAGCCAGCUUGACUGCGAGCGUGACGGCGCGAGCAGGUGCGAAAGCAGGUCAUAGUGAUCCGGUGGUUCUGAAUGGAAGGGCCAUCGCUCAACGGAUAAAAGGUACUCCGGGGAUAACAGGCUGAUACCGCCCAAGAGUUCAUAUCGACGGCGGUGUUUGGCACCUCGAUGUCGGCUCAUCACAUCCUGGGGCUGAAGUAGGUCCCAAGGGUAUGGCUGUUCGCCAUUUAAAGUGGUACGCGAGCUGGGUUUAGAACGUCGUGAGACAGUUCGGUCCCUAUCUGCCGUGGGCGCUGGAGAACUGAGGGGGGCUGCUCCUAGUACGAGAGGACCGGAGUGGACGCAUCACUGGUGUUCGGGUUGUCAUGCCAAUGGCACUGCCCGGUAGCUAAAUGCGGAAGAGAUAAGUGCUGAAAGCAUCUAAGCACGAAACUUGCCCCGAGAUGAGUUCUCCCUGACUCCUUGAGAGUCCUGAAGGAACGUUGAAGACGACGACGUUGAUAGGCCGGGUGUGUAAGCGCAGCGAUGCGUUGAGCUAACCGGUACUAAUGAACCGUGAGGCUUAACCUUACAACGCCGAAG